GUAACACGUGGGCAACCUGCCCAAAANAGGGGGAUAACACUUGGAACAGGUGCUAAUACCGCAUAACCAUAGUUACCGCAUGGUAACUAUGUAAAAGGUGGCUAUGCUACCGCUUUUGGAUGGGCCCGCGGCGCAUUAGCUAGUUGGUGGGGUAAAGGCUUACCAAGGCAAUGAUGCGUAGCCGAGCUGAGAGGUUGAUCAGCCACAUUGGGACUGAGGCACGGCCCAAACUCCUACGGGAGGCAGCAG
rnacentral:rRNA from 1 species